rnacentral:lncRNA from 13 species
AUUCUCACAAUUCUGUGUGGGUUGACUGGGCUCAGCUGGAUGGUUCUUCUGCCUCUUGUGAUGUCAUCUGGAACUGCAGUCAUUUGGAGGCUCGAUCAGGUUAGAAUGCCUGAGAUGGCUCAUUCGCAUGCCUGGUACCCUAAUUGAAGAUGGAGCCCAGCCUGGACGUUCUGAUAGUGCAUUCUUGGCAGCUUUGGAGAUCUGGACAGCAGUCUUUACCCAUUCUCUGCUACAUGAUGCCCAUUUUAGGAUUUGGGCACCUCCAGUUCAUCUACCUGGAGCCCAGCUUACGUCACAUCUCAGAUUCAGCUCCGUAAACCCACAGCCUUUAGAGGAGAAAACAUUGACUAGAGCUUCUCUAUGCCUCAGAGACUUUGGACCAGCCUCUCUAGCUUCCUCCACUGAUAACUAA